rnacentral:rRNA from 1 species
CCUUGACAUGCAGAGAACUUUCCAGAGAUGGAUUGGUGCCUUCGGGAACUCUGACACAGGUGCUGCAUGGCUGCCGUCAGCUCGUGUCGUGAGAUGUUGGGUUAAGUCCGUAACGAGCGCAACCCUUGUCCUUAGUUACCAGCACGUUAUGGUGGGCACUCUAAGGAGACUGCCGGUGACAAACCGGAGGAAGGUGGGGAUGACGUCAAGUCAUCAUGGCCCUUACGGCCUGGGCUACACACGUGCUACAAUGGUCGGUACAAAGGGUUGCCAAGCCGCGAGGUGGAGCUAAUCCCAUAAAACCGAUCGUAGUCCGGAUCGCAGUCUGCAACUCGACUGCGUGAAGUCGGAAUCGCUAGUAAUCGUGAAUCAGAAUGUCACGGUGAAUACGUUCCCGGGCCUU